rnacentral:rRNA from 1 species
GGGGUAGCGGUGAAAUGCGUUGAUCCCUGGGGGACCACCUGUGGCGAAGGCGCCCGGCUGGAACGGGUCCGACGGUGAGGGACGAAGGCCGGGGGAGCAAACCGGAUUAGAUACCCGGGUAGUCCCGGCUGUAAACUCUGCGGACUAGGUGUCGCGUCGGCUUCGGGCCGGCGCGGUGCCGAAGGGAAGCCGUUAAGUCCGCCGCCUGGGGAGUACGGUCGCAAGACUGAAACUUAAAGGAAUUGGCGGGGGAGCACUACAACGGGUGGAGCCUGCGGUUUAAUUGGAUUCAACGCCGGGCAUCUUACCAGGGGCGACGGCAGGAUGAAGGCCAGGUUGACGACCUUGCCAGACGCGCCGAGAGGUGGUGCAUGGCCGUCGUCAGCUCGUACCGUGAGGCGUCCUGUUAAGUCAGGUAACGAGCGAGACCCGUGCCCCAUGUUGCCAUCCCCUCCUCCGGGAGGGGGGCACUCAUGGGGGACCGCCGGCGAAAAGCCGGAGGAAGGUGCGGGCAACGACAGGUCCGCAUGCCCCGAAUCCCCUGGGCUACACGCGGGCUACAAUGGCCGGGACAAUGGGAUGCGACCCCGAAAGGGGGAGCAAAUCCCCUAAACCCGGUCGUAGUCCGGAUCGAGGGCUGUAACUCGCCCUCGUGAAGCCGGAAUCCGUAGUAAUCGCGCCUCA